rnacentral:rRNA from 1 species
GGUGAUCGGCCACACUGGGACUGAGACACGGCCCAGACUCCUACGGGAGGCAGCAGUAGGGAAUCUUCCGCAAUGGACGAAAGUCUGACGGAGCUACGUCCGCGUGAGUGAUGAAGGUUUUCGGAUCGUAAAGCUCUGUUUGUUUAGGGAAGAACAAGUGCGAGAGUAACUGCUCGCACUUGACGGUACCUAACCAGAAAGCCACGGCUAACUACGUGCCAGUAGCCGCGGUUAUACGUAGGUGCAAGCGUGUCCGGAAUUAUUGGGCGUAAAGGGGCUCGCAGGCGGUUUCUUAAGUCUGAUGUGAAAGCCCCCGGCUCAACCGGGGAGGGUCAUUGGAAACUGGGAAACUUGAGUGCAGAAGAGGAGAGUGGAAUUCCACGUGUAGCGGUGAAAUGCGUAGAGAUGUGGAGGAACACCAGUGGCGAAGGCGACUCUCUGGUCUGUAACUGACGCUGAGGAGCGAAAGCGUGGGGAGCGAACAGGAUUAGAUAGCCUGGUAGUCCACGCCGUAAACGAUGAGUGCUAAGUGUUAGGGGGUUUCCGCCCCUUAGUGCUGCAGCUAACGCAUUAAGCACUCCGCCUGGGGAGUACGGUCGCAAGACUGAAACUCAAAGGAAUUGACGGGGGCCCGCACAA